GUUGUUUCUUUGGUUUUGGGCCCAAGAUCAAGGUUAGUAUCUGUUCUUAUCAUUUAACAUCUCAUAAAUCCUCUACCUGAGGAUACUUUAUUUUAUUUUAUUAAAAAAAU
ensembl:snRNA U2 U2 spliceosomal RNA